GAUGAAGAACGUAGCGAAAUGCGAUAAGUAAUGUGAAUUGCAGAAUUCAGUGAAUCAUCGAAUCUUUGAACGCACCUUGCGCCCUUUGGCUAUUCCGAAGGGCAUGCCUGUUUGAGUAUCAUGAACACCUCAACUCUCAUGGUUUGCCAUGAUGAGCUUGGACUUUGGGGGUCUUGCCGGCCUAUGGGUCGGCUCCUCUCAAAUUAAUCAGCUUGCCAGUGUUUGGUGGCAUCACAGGUGUGAUAACUAUCUACGCUUGUGGUUUUCCAUCAGGUAACCUUCAGUGAUGGAGGUUCGCUGGGGCUCAUAAAUGUCUCUCCUCAGUGAGGACAGCUUUUUUGAACGUUUGAUCUCAAAUCAGGUAGGACUACCCGCUGAACUUAAGCAUAUUCAAUAAGCGGAGGA
rnacentral:misc_RNA from 1 species